UCAAAUAAUAGUAUAAAAGAAGGUAUAAUAGUCGAUUACAUCAUGAUGUUCGAGACAUCCAAAAGUCUUUAACAAUAAUCAAAGUGCGGAAAAGAAACGUAGACACACACGGCCUUCACAGGCAGUCGACUGGGGGUUUUCCGCUAACCCACGCCUAGAACUCAUCGUACUCUUGGAACUCCUGGAAGUCCUCAUCCACAACUUCAUCUUCUCCUGAGCAGUGGUUGCAACGCGGACAACCUGGGGGGGGGGGGGGGGGGGGGGGGGGGGGGGUGUGGGGGGGGGGGGGGGUGUUGGGUUGGUGUGUAAAUCAAGGGUGAGUACACAUCAACAUACUCAGCAAUAUGUCCCAUUUGGCUGUAGUGGACUAGCUUUAUGUGGAGUUUAGUCAAGCAGUUGCUUUUGGUUGGUCAGGUUAUUAUUAAUAGUAGAAAGCCAGGUUUUAGCAUUAACCCAAGUUUUUAACCCAAUGUACCCUUUCCAAACAGAAAGAAUACCACUUACCAUUACCAUAAUCAUAAUCAAAACCAUCAUCCUCAUCACCACCUGCAAACCAACCAUCUCUGAUCAAAGUAUCUCUAAUCAAUGGAGCUCCCUUGGCCGCUCAUAACCGCAAGUACGACUGAUAUUAUAGUUUCAUAACACUCUGCAGAGGUUGCGCACUUUACGCAUAAGCCGUGAUUCCCUCUUGCCUCGGGCCUAUCAAACCCUUAUACACUACCAAGGUGAAUAGGCAAGGUCUCACUACGUAGCUGUCGGUACCCUAAAAUAGGGGUACCCCUUACUAUUGUAUGAAGACGUAGUACCCACGCGGCUAUCUUUGGUCGCGUGGUAAAGGAGUUGUGCGUGGGGCCAGGCCGUGACUCACCCCAGCUUCGAGUGACUACUCUUGGCUAGCAACAGCACCCGACCCCACCACGUGGAUGGCUCCAGGGCCACCACGUGGCCAGAGAAGAAGAUAUACUCCAAGGUGUCAACAGUGAGUCCGGACCCCCAUGGGAAAGUGCCGGACCACUGUAUAUACAGACCGGGCCUCCGGGUAAGGUCCAGGACCUCCACGGGCGCAAACUGGACCCCUAGGAUGGGAUCCGGACCCCCUCUGUGUGGGGUCCGGGCUGCUCACAUGAAGCGUCCCAAUCCUCUGGGACUCAAAUGUGAUACAAUUACUAGUCCCAGGAGGCUAGUAAACACAUUUACACAUCAGAUGAUUACAGAUCUGCUUAAACGACAAACCUAUAAAGGUGGCGAACAACUUUAAGAGUUGGUCCACAACUCGGGACAUAUCAUCAGAGUGGGGCUGAAGCAGCCCGAUAUACGCAGCGAAGCAAAUCAGCGGUCCAACAGCCACAGGCAAGGUUGGGAACAGACGUAACUCUUACCCGGUCUCCUUUUUCUGAAAAAAAUAAAUAAGCAAGGGUGAGUACAAACGUACUCAGCAGCCCACCUUCACCCGCGGAAUGGGGAAAUCAGAUAUAAUGCAUGGAAUAUGUGGAGCUCAGGAUAUUUUGCAGAAACAACAAUAUUUUAUGCAGGGUUGUUUUGAAAAACAUUUUGUAUUUUUGCAAAGCGCAUCCUCUCCAAAAGGAGCAGGAAGUUUUUCAGUAUUAUAACAAAAUCCCCUGGACUAAACCAUCCAGGUAUCUCAGCAGUUUCCCACUGGUUUUCCUUUUCAAAAACAGCUACUGGACUUCCCGUCCACCAUAGCUCACGGCUCAACCGUCGGACCUUUUAAAAACCAUUUUUCUCAAACGCACCCUUUUUGAAAGCAAAACAUUAAUUGCCAUACCAUACCAGACUCGUCCAUUCCUGUGGACACGGACUAUUCGAAUAGGUUUUCAAACUCUGCGCAGAGGUGUACACUUUACCCACUAGUCCGGCUCUGCGAUCUCAUGAUCAGUGAGAUCCGAAUCCGAAUCCCUUUCUUUCCUCGCAGUCCUAACCUUAACGGUUAUACCGGAAGGAGUCAGGCCACCGCCAUGUCCAAACCGGACAAAACAUUCCCCCUCCUUAUCCUCCCGGUGCUCCCCAGCCUUCAUAACCCUGGGGUUGGACCGUACGAGUUCAGAUUGAGUGACUGCCCACACAGUCUCGAGUGGUUGUACUUAUCAUGAGUACAGGUAGUGAAAAAUGACAAACCGGUCCUUAUACGAGGGGACAAUCCUUCUGCUCACGCCUAAACCAGCUGAGCCAUCACCUUAGGCCCUCCCCUAAACCAGGGAGUCCCUGAUUAUCCCACUCACAAGGUGAUAAGGGUGAAAACCCUUCAUCAUACACAUUUUGAAAAGCAUUUUCUUUUGAAAACUCACACCUUUUCUCAAAUCAUUUGUAACAAAUAUAUCAGGGAUUGAUAGCGGCAAGCGGCUGGGUGGCCAUAAUAACUUGUCUCAAAAUCAUAUCAUGCAUAAGAUAACAGGCUGAGGGUUGUGGUUGAAAAACAUAGGUAAUUUAUGCAUCAAAGGGAUCCAGUGAGCUUGCCGUGCUUAUCCGGCGAAGGGGGAAGAAGAGCUCGCGGAACUGGCUUCUGGCUCAUGGCGUAGACUUGUAGAUCUGGCCUCCACG
rnacentral:lncRNA from 1 species